UACGGGGGGAGCAAGCGUUGCUCGGAAUUAUUGGGCGUAAAGCGCACGUAGGCGGUUUGUUAUGUCGGAUGUGAAAGCCCUUGGCUCAACUGAGGAAGUGCAUCCGAAACUGGCAAGCUAGAGUAUGUAAGAGGGUCGCGGAAUUCCCGGUGUAGAGGUGAAAUUCGUAGAUAUCGGGAGGAACACCGGUGGCGAAGGCGGCGACCUGGGACAAUACUGACGCUGAGGUGCGAAAGCGUGGGGAGCAAACAGG
rnacentral:rRNA from 1 species